rnacentral:rRNA from 1 species
UACGUAGGGUGCAAGCGUUAAUCGGAAUUACUGGGCGUAAAGCGUGCGCAGGCGGUUUUGUAAGUCUGUCGUGAAAGCCCCGGGCUCAACCUGGGAAUUGCGAUGGAGACUGCAAGGCUUGAAUCUGGCAGAGGGGGGUAGAAUUCCACGUGUAGCAGUGAAAUGCGUAGAGAUGUGGAGGAACACCGAUGGCGAAGGCAGCCCCCUGGGGUCAAGAUUGACGCUCAUGCACGAAAGCGUGGGGAGCAAACAGG